GCGGAGGGGAAACGCCCGUUCCCAUUCCGAACACGGAAGCUAAGCCCUCCAGCGCCGAUGGUACUGCCCUGGCAACGGGGUGGGAGAGUAGGUCAUUGCCAGAG
rnacentral:rRNA from 1 species